rnacentral:tRNA from 1 species
GCCUACGUAGCUCAGCUGGUAGAGCGCAUCCUUGGUAAGGAUGAGGUCCCCGGUUCGAUUCCGGGCGUAGGCUCCA